UACGAAGGGGGCGAGCGUUGUUCGGAUUUACUGGGCGUAAAGGGCGCGCAGGCGGCGAGUUUUGUCAGGCGUGAAAGCCCCGGGCUCAACCUGGGAAUUGCAUUCGAGACUGCAUAGCUAGGGUGCGGAAGAGGGAAGCGGAAUUUCCGGUGUAGCGGUGAAAUGCGUAGAUAUCGGAAGGAACACCAGUGGCGAAAGCGGCUUCCUGGUCCAGCACCGACGUUCAGGCACGAAAGCGUGGGGAGCAAACAGG
rnacentral:rRNA from 1 species